UACGUAGGGCGCAAGCGUUGUCCGGAAUUAUUGGGCGUAAAGAGCUCGUAGGCGGCCUGUUGCGUCCGCUGUGAAAUCCCGGGGCCCAACCCCGGGCCUGCAGUGGAUACGGGCUGGCUGGAGGCAGGCAGGGGAGAUCGGAAUUCCUGGUGUAGCGGUGAAAUGCGCAGAUAUCAGGAGGAACACCGGUGGCGAAGGCGGGUCUCUGGGCCAUUACUGACGCUGAGGAGCGAAAGCGUGGGGAGCGAACAGG
rnacentral:rRNA from 1 species